UACGGGAGGCAGCAGUGGGGAAUAUUGCACAAUGGGCGCAAGCCUGAUGCAGCCAUGCCGCGUGUAUGAAGAAGGCCUUCGGGUUGUAAAGUACUUUCAGUCGUGAGGAAGGUGUUAAGGUUAAUAACCUUAGCAAUUGACGUUAGCGACAGAAGAAGCACCGGCUAACUCCGUGCCAGCAGCCGCGGUAAUACGGAGGGUGCGAGCGUUAAUCGGAAUUACUGGGCGUAAAGGGCACGCAGGCGGUUAAUUAAGUUGGAUGUGAAAUCCCCGGGCUUAACCUGGGAAUGGCAUUCAAGACUGGUUAGCUAGAGUCUUGUAGAGGGGGUAGAAUUCCAUGUGUAGCGGUGAAAUGCGUAGAGAUGUGGAGGAAUACCGGUGGCGAAGGCGGCCCCUGGGACAAAGACUGACGCUCAUGUGCGAAAGCGUGGGGAGCAAACAGGAUUUAGAUAC
rnacentral:rRNA from 1 species